ACAAGUUGCCUUUUGGUACCUAGCAUUUUUAUCCCUCUUUAAAUACUGCCAAGGAAAACCAAGUUUCCAGUAAUUGGCACAAAUUUUACUACAAAAGGCAUAUGAGCAACCACUGCUUGAGAUAGUGACUCCUAAAUUAUGCAAAGAACAAAUUCUGGAACAUUUCUCAACUUGAACCAAUUUGAUAUUGAAGAUAUUCACUUCCUUAUUCUCUGCAUCUCACUCCUAAGGUUAGCUUGGGUGAUUACUCACACUGCAAUCAAAAUAAUAAAUAAUCAAUAAUUAAUCUUGAAUUUUAUAAAAAAUUUGAAUAACUUUUUAUAGCAAAGUUCUUUAGGGAUCAAUUUUAUAUUUUAAUUAUUUUUAUAUUUUUUUAUAAAUUUCUGUAUUAAAACUUUUUAUUAUUAUAAAUAGCAAUUUUCUUAACCAUUUGUAAAAUUUUUAAAUUUUUGAAAAUUUUAUAAAAAAUUUUAAUUUGAAUUUUACUUAAUUUUUUGAGAAUUUUAUAAAAAAUUUUAAUUUUAAUUUUACUUAAUUAAAUAAUAUUAGUUAAAAUUUUUGACAGAAUUUUAAUAAUUCUAUUCUAAUUAAACUUUACUAACCGGAAAUAUUUUAAAAUUGGUGGUUUGGUAGCUAGGUCAAUAGUGCAAUUAUAAGAACACUAUUUUCAAAAAGAAAAAGAAAAAGGAAAAAAAAAAUUAACCACAAUUUUUGAGCAUUUAAUUAAAUAUUUAAUAUUAUAAAAAUUAAAUAAUACAAAUAAUUAAAAUUAUAGAAAAUAAAGCGAUAUAAAUAUUUAAGUUGAUUAAUAUAUACGUUUUAAUUAAGUGAUUUAAUUUUCUGAGGACUCAUUUAUAAUAACUUAUCCAAGAAAAUAAAUGAUCAAACUGUUAUAGCCCUCAUUUUCAGGACACAAAUUAAAUCUGUCCGUUUGUGUUGUUCUAGUACACACUAUUAUCUUCUAGUUUCCUUGCUCUCUACACCUAAGAUUGUCUAUAAAAGGGCCAAGUAGCCACUACCCAGUCAUGAGUUGUGAUCAAAGAUCAUAGUUGAGAGGUGAAAGAUGAGUGGAACUGCUUGCUCCAACAACGCCUAUGCUAUGCAAGACAUGAGACCAAAUGGGUAUUAUCAUCAUCAUCAAGGAAGCAAGAUCAAAGACAAGUGCUCCUACUUCCAGAUGCCACUGCACUAUCCAAGAUUCAAGAAGAGGGACUACGAGACAAUGCCUGAAUGGAAGUUGGAGUGUUUGCUGACAGAGUAUGGACUGCCGGUGGUCGGCGAUGUUGAUCAAAAAAGAAAGUUUGCGAUGGGAGCCUUCCUUUGGCCUUCGGAGAAGGAGUGAACAAGAAAGUAGGGAUCAUGUAUUAGUUAAUUAAUAAUUAGUAUUCUAUAUAUGUUCCUUAUUAAUAGAACUGUGAUCAUAGAUUUAUAGAUAUCUAAGUUAUAUGUAAUGUUCUAUAUUUAUAAUUGAAUUAGACGUAUGCUACUAGCUACUAUGCAACUUCAUUAUUCAUUAUUUAUUAUUAUUAUUUUAAUAUUCAAUGAUGAAAUAAUUAAAUUGGAGAGUA
rnacentral:lncRNA from 1 species